rnacentral:rRNA from 1 species
CCCUUAGAUGUCCGGGGCCGCACGCGCGCUACACUGAAGGAAUCAGCGUGGCUUUCUCCCUGACCCGAAAGGGUUGGGAAACCCGUUGAAUCUCCUUCGUGAUAGGGAUUGGGGCUUGAAAUUGUUCCCCAUGAACGAGGAAUUCCCAGUAAGCGCGAGUCAUAAGCUCGCGUUGAUUACGUCCCUGCCCUUUGUACACACCGCCCGUCGCUACUACCGAUUGAACGGUUUAGUGAGGGCCUCGGAUUGGUCUCGGCCCGCUCUUUACCGGGCGGCGCCGUUGGUCGAGAAGACGCUCGAACUUGAUCGUUUAGCGGAAGUAAAAGUCGUAACA